AGUCGUAACAAGGUUUCCGUAGGUGAACCUGCGGAAGGAUCAUUACCGAGUGAGGGCCCUCUGGGUCCAACCUCCCACCCGUGUUUAACGAACCUUGUUGCUUCGGCGGGCCCGCCUCACGGCCGCCGGGGGGCAUCCGCCCCCGGGCCCGCGCCCGCCGAAGACACCUGUGAACACUGUCUGAAGUUGCAGUCUGAGAAACUAGCUAAAUUAGUUAAAACUUUCAACAACGGAUCUCUUGGUUCCGGCAUCGAUGAAGAACGCAGCGAAAUGCGAUAAAUAAUGUGAAUUGCAGAAUUCAGUGAAUCAUCGAGUCUUUGAACGCACAUUGCGCCCUCUGGUAUUCCGGAGGGCAUGCCUGUCCGAGCGUCAUUGCUGCCCUCAAGCACGGCUUGUGUGUUGGGCCCCCGUCCCCCCCACCGGGGGGACGGGCCCGAAAGGCAGCGGCGGCACCGCGUCCGGUCCUCGAGCGUAUGGGGCUCUGUCACCCGCUCUUGUAGGCCCGGCCGGCGCCAGCCGACCCCCCUCAAUCUAUUUUUUCAGGUUGACCUCGGAUCAGGUAGGGAUACCCGCUGAACUUAAGCAUAUCAAUAA
rnacentral:misc_RNA from 1 species